UUUCAUUUCUUCCCUUUUCUCUUUUCCUACUACUCAUUCUUUUACUUCUAAGACUUUGAUAUUUUUUGUUAAUGUGAAAUUUUGUAUCUAUAAAUAGAAAGAAAAAAUGCUACCAUGAUCUUGAGUAACAUUGCAAUUUUCUCAUUAUUUUUUUCUACCAAAUCUAGAAUUAUUGUCCUUAUUUUCUUCCUUUUUAUUCUUCUUUCUCCUUCAUAUUGUUUGUAUCAUAAACCUAAACUCCAAGAUUCUAUUAAGGGUUUGUUAAUGGAAGAGAAAACAAGGUUGGGAUCAAUACCACCAAGUUGUUACAACAAGUGUAACCAAUGUCACCCAUGCAUGGCAGUGCAAGUGCCUACAACACCAAGUCACAAUCGAGUUGAGUCGAAUCGAGUCAAAAAUAUCAAUCGAGCUGAGUCGAAUCGAGCUAAAAAUAUGCCCAUACAGUAUUUUGAAUCAUCAUCACCAUCAAUUGGAGCCAAUAGGUACUCAAAUUACAAGCCACUUGGAUGGAAAUGUAGAUGUGAUGACCACUUUUACAAUCCUUAGUUAGGUCUCGAAUUUUUUAUAAAAUAAUCGUAAUAUUCAGAUCAGUUUGUGAUUUAUAAUUAACACGUGGAUGGUAUGUAAUUUUUUUUUUUUUUUUAGGAAUUUUUGUGUAAAUAAAUUUGGUCCCUAUUGGGAUACUAUGUAGAGUAAUGACAUAUUUAAUGAGGCUGUUAGAAGCAUUUAUGUAUGAUAUCAAUACACUGAUGUUGUACAUAACCUUUUUCACAGUGUUGAA